rnacentral:rRNA from 1 species
UACAGAGGGGGCAAGCGUUGUCCGGAAUUAUUGGGCGUAAAGAGCUCGUAGGCGGUUUGUCGCGUCUGCUGUGAAAUCCCGAGGCUCAACCUCGGGUCUGCAGUGGGUACGGGCAGACUGGAGUGCGGUAGGGGAGAAUGGAAUUCCUGGUGUAGCGGUGGAAUGCGCAGAUAUCAGGAGGAACACCGAUGGCGAAGGCAGUUCUCUGGGCCGUAACUGACGCUGAGGAGCGAAAGCGUGGGGAGCGAACAGG